rnacentral:rRNA from 1 species
UACGUAGGGGGCGAGCGUUGUCCGGAUUUAUUGGGCGUAAAGAGCUCGUAGGCGGCUUGGCAAGUCGGGUGUGAAACCUCCAGGCUCAACCUGGAGACGCCACUCGAUACUGCCAUGGCUAGAGUCCGGUAGGGGACCACGGAAUUCCUGGUGUAGCGGUGAAAUGCGCAGAUAUCAGGAGGAACACCGGUGCGGAAGGCGGUCUCUGG